AGUGAACGCUGGCGGUAGGCCUAACACAUGCAAGUCGAACGGCAGCACAGGAGAGCUUGCUCUCUGGGUGGCGAGUGGCGGACGGGUGAGGAAUACAUCGGAAUCUACUUUUUCGUGGGGGAUAACGUAGGGAAACUUACGCUAAUACCGCAUACGACCUACGGGUGAAAGCAGGGGAUCUUCGGACCUUGCGCGACUGAAUGAGCCGAUGUCGGAUUAGCUAGUUGGCGGGGUAAAGGCCCACCAAGGCGACGACCCGUAGCUGGUCUGAGAGGAUGAUCAGCCACACUGGAACUGAGACACGGUCCAGACUCCUACGGGAGGCAGCAGUGGGGAAUAUUGGACAAUGGGCGCAAGCCUGAUCCAGCCAUACCGCGUGGGUGAAGAAGGCCUUCGGGUUGUAAAGCCCUUUUGUUGGGAAAGAGAUCCAGCUGGUUAAUACCCGGUUGGGAUGACGGUACCCAAAGAAUAAGCACCGGCUAACUUCGUGCCAGCCGCCGCGGUAA
rnacentral:rRNA from 1 species